GACGAACGCUGGCGGCGUGCCUAAUACAUGCAAGUCGAGCGGACUGACUGGGAGCUUGCUCUUGUUCGGUCAGCGGCGGACGGGUGAGUAACACGUGGGCAACCUGCCCGCAAGACCGGGAUAACUCCGGGAAACCGGAGCUAAUACCGGAUAACACCGAAGACCGCAUGGUCUUUGGUUGAAAGGCGGCGCAAGCUGCCACUUGCGGAUGGGCCCGCGGCGCAUUAGCUAGUUGGUGAGGUAACGGCUCACCAAGGCGACGAUGCGUAGCCGGCCUGAGAGGGUGACCGGCCACACUGGGACUGAGACACGGCCCAGACUCCUACGGGAGGCAGCAGUAGGGAAUCUUCCGCAAUGGGCGAAAGCCUGACGGAGCGACGCCGCGUGAGCGAAGAAGGCCGUCGGGUCGUAAAGCUCUGUUGUGAGGGACGAAGGAGCGCCGUUUGAAGAAGGCGGCGCGGUGACGGUACCUCACGAGGAAGCCCCGGCUAACUACGUG
rnacentral:rRNA from 1 species